CCUACGGGAGGCAGCAGUGGGGAAUUUUGGACAAUGGGCGAAAGCCUGAUCCAGCCAUGCCGCGUGAGUGAUGAAGGCCUUAGGGUUGUAAAGCUCUUUCACCCACGACGAUGAUGACGUUACUCGCAGAAUAAGCACCGGCUAACUCCGUGCCAGCAGCCGCGGUAAU
rnacentral:rRNA from 1 species